ensembl:misc_RNA
AGGGAGGGAGGCUGCGGACGAGUGCGGGGAGGAGUUUUGAGAUGGGAGGUGCUUGCAGGGGCUCCCCCAGUUCUGCGCUGUGAGCCGGGGCACAAAGAGCCCUCUGCACUCGCGCCGCAGGACCGCGGACCCGAGG